UACGAAGGGGGCUAGCGUUGUUCGGAGUUACUGGGCGUAAAGGGCGCGUAGGCGGCGCACCAAGUCAGGCGUGAAAGCCCUGGGCUCAACCCGGGAAUUGCGCUUGAGACUGGUGUGCUCGAGUACGGGAGAGGAUGGUGGAAUUCCCAGUGUAGAGGUGAAAUUCGUAGAUAUUGGGAAGAACACCGGUGGCGAAGGCGGCCAUCUGGACCGUAACUGACGCUGAGGCGCGAAAGCGUGGGGAGCAAACAGG
rnacentral:rRNA from 1 species